rnacentral:misc_RNA from 1 species
CUCUCUCAAACUUUAUGUUUGGUAUUGAGUGAUACUCUACUUGUGUUAACUUGAAAUACGGUUUUGGCAAGGGUGUGUUAAACAGCCGUCGUCCUCGAUAAUGUAUUAGGUUCUACCAACUCGUUAUAGUGGAAGAUUGGACUGCUUAGCAUGUAAGCUCGGCCUAACAACCCCUUCAAUAA